rfam:Octopus bimaculoides Scaffold77523_contig_44, whole genome shotgun sequence.
AUAUGGCUACAGCAGUACAUAUUCUAAAUUUGGAAUGAUACAGAAGGGAUUAGCAUAGCUGCUGCACAAGGAUGACAUGCAAAUUCAUGAAGUAUUUCAUAUUUUU